GAUCAACCAGGUAGCAUUCCUCGGAGACAAUUGAGCCGCAAGAUGUAAAACAUCUAUGAGACAUCAAACGUCAAUCGAACGGGGCACGUAAUGCCUAUUUAUGGGUAAAUAGAGGGUUAUUCGACCCCUACCCGCAGCGUUUUCUGAAUCCCCGACGUCAAGCUACGCUCGUGGGCCGAUACCGCAUGGCAUAUGCAGUUCGGAACACAAAGUUCGCUUUAAGGUUUGCCCGAUUCCGCACCGUGUAAACGGGCGGCGGUGGGAAAACUUUGGAUAGAUUGCCCAACAAAUUCCGUCAAUGUAGGUAUACAGCACAGGAAACCGGCGACUUGGCCAAGGCAAACGAGGCGCUUGUGCCAAUAAGUGAAGAGGAACGCACGA
rnacentral:misc_RNA from 1 species